rnacentral:rRNA from 1 species
GAUGAACGCUGGCGGCGUGCCUAAUACAUGCAAGUCGAGCGAACAGACGAGGAGCUUGCUCCUCUGACGUUAGCGGCGGACGGGUGAGUAACACGUGGAUAACCUACCUAUAAGACUGGGAUAACUUCGGGAAACCGGAGCUAAUACCGGAUAAUAUAUUGAACCGCAUGGUUCAAUAGUGAAAGACGGUUUUGCUGUCACUUAUAGAUGGAUCCGCGCCGCAUUAGCUAGUUGGUAAGGUAACGGCUUACCAAGGCAACGAUGCGUAGCCGACCUGAGAGGGGGAUCGGCCACACUGGAACUGAGACACGGACCAUACUCCUACGGGAGGCAGCAGUAGGGAAUCUUCCGCAAUGGGCGAAAGCCUGACGGAGCAACGCCGCGUGAGUGAUGAAGGUCUUCGGAGCGUAAAACUCUGUUAUUAGGGAAGAACAAAUGUGUAAGUAACUAUGCACGUCUUGACGGUACCUAAUCAGAAAGCCACGGCUAACUACGUG